rnacentral:rRNA from 1 species
AGAGUUUGAUCCUGGCUCAGAACGAACGCUGGCGGAGUGCUUAAUACAUGCAAGUCGUGCGAGAAAGCGUCCUUCGGGAUGUGAGUAGAGCGGCGAACGGGUGAGUAACACGUAAGCUACCUGCCCCUAAAUCUGGGAUAACCUUUCUAACGAGGGGCUAAUACCGGGUGUGAUCUUUACCUCGCAUGGGGUUUAGAUUAAAGAUGACCUCUACUUGUAAGUUAUCGUUUGGGGAUGGGCUUGCGGCCCAUUAGCUUGUUGGUGGGGUAAUGGCCUACCAAGGCAACGAUGGGUAGCCGACCUGAGAGGGUGAUCGGCCACAUUGGGACUGAGAUACGGCCCAAACUCCUACGGGAGGCAGCAGUAGGGAAUUUUGCGCAAUGGACGAAAGUCUGACGCAGCAACUCCGCGUGAGGGAUGAAGGCCUUCGGGUUGUAAACCUCUGUUGGUAGGGAAGAAAUGGCUUAUGGCUAAUAUCUGUAAGCUUUGACGGUACCUGCCGAGGAAGCUCCGGCUAACUACGUGCCAGCAGCCGCGGUAAUACGUAGGGAGCAUGCGUUGUUCGGAAUCACUGGGCGUAAAGGGAGCGUAGGCGGAAAUAUAAGUUAGAAGUGAAAUGUAGCGGCUCAACCGUUAAUCUGCUUUUAAUACUGUAUUUCUUGAGUAUGGGAGAGGAAGAUGGAAUUCCAGGUGUAGCGGUGGAAUGCGUAGAUAUCUGGAAGAACACCAGUUGCGAAGGCGGUCUUCUGGCCCAAUACUGACGCUGAGGCUCGAAAGCUAGGGGAGCGAACAGGAUUAGAUACCCUGGUAGUCCUAGCCGUAAACGAUGGAUACUAGAUGCUGGAAGCUAUUUUGUUUUCAGUGUCGCAGCUAACGCAUUAAGUAUCCCGCCUGGGGAGUACGCUCGCAAGGGUGAAACUCAAAGGAAUUGACGGGGGCCCGCACAAGCGGUGGAGCAUGUGCUUUAAUUCGAUGCAACGCGAAGAACCUUACCUGGCCUUGACAUGGGAGUGAAAGUUUCUAGAGAUAGAAGCCCUUCCCUCGGGAACACUCCACACAGGUGCUGCAUGGUUGUCGUCAGCUCGUGUCGUGAGAUGUUGGGUUAAGUCCCGCAACGAGCGCAACCCCUGUCCUUAGUUGCCAUCAGGUAAUGCUGGGAACUCUAAGGAGACUGCCUGGAUCAACCAGGAGGAAGGUGGGGAUGAUGUCAAAUCAUCAUGGCCCUUACGGCCAGGGCUAGACACGUGCUACAAUGGGCGGUACAGCGGGAUGCGAACUUGCGAGAGUAAGCUAAUCCCUUAAAACCGUUCUCAGUUCGGAUUGGAGUCUGCAAUUCGACUCCAUGAAGUUGGAAUCGCUAGUAAUCGCGGAUCAGCAUGCCGCGGUGAAUACGUUCCCGGGCCUUGUACACACCGCCCGUCAAGCCAUGAAAGAAGGUAGUACCCGAAGCCGUUUCUCUAACCGCAAGGAAGAAAACGUCGAAGGUAAGAUCUUUGAUUGGGGCUAGGUCGAAACAAGGUA